UACAGGGACACAUAUGAAGUCUCGGAGCCGGGUGUUGGUUCCGGUAGCGAUCGAGGGAAGUUAGUACCGAAGUCCGAGAUGGAAGAUGGCGAGAAAAGCUGUGUGUAUUUCAGCGGUGCCCGUACCGCAAACCGACACAGGUAGGUAGGAAGAAGAUUCUAAGGCCAACGGGAGAAGGGUUGUUAAGGAACUCGGCAAAUUGACCCCGUAACUUCGGGAGAGGGGGUGCUGCAGCAAUGCAGCCGCAGAGAAUCGGCCCAAGCAACUGUUUACCAAAAACACAGGUUUGUGCUAAAUCGAAAGAUGACGUAUACGAGCUGACGCCUGCCCGGUGCUGGAAGGUUAAGAGGAGAUGUGCAAGCAUUGAAUCGAAGCCCCAGUGAACGGCGGCCGUAACUAUAACGGUCCUAAGGUAGCGAAAUUCCUUGUCAGGUAAGUUCUGACCCGCAUGAAAGGCGUAAUGAUUUGGGCACUGUCUCAACAGCCCGCCCGGCGAAAUUGUAGUACCGGUGAAGAUGCCGGUUACCCGCGACAAGACGGAAAGACCCCAUGGAGCUUUACUGUAGCCUAAUAUUGGGUUUCGAUGUUGCAUGCACAGGAUAGAUGGGACACUGGGAAGCAGGUGCUUUGGCGCUUGUGGAGUGGCCGUUGGGAUACCAUCCUUGCGAUAUUGGAAUUCUAACCUGCGCCUUUGAAUCAAGGCGGGGGACAUUGUUAGGUGGGCAGUUUGACUGGGGCGGUCGCCUCCUAAAGAGUAACGGAGGCGUUCAAAGGUUCGCUCAGCUUGAACGGAAAUCAAGCAAAAGAGUGCAAACGCAGAAGCGAGCCUAACUGCGAGACUGACGGGUCGAGCAGUAACGAAAGUUGGAGUUAGUGAUCCGGUGGUAUGUGAGUGGAAAUGCCAUCGCUCAACGGAUAAAAGUUACCCUGGGGAUAACAGGCUGAUCUCCCCCAAGAGUCCACAUCGACGGGGAGGUUUGGCACCUCGAUGUCGGCUCAUCGCAUCCUGGGGCUGUAUUCGGUCCCAAGGGUUUGGCUGUUCGCCAAUUAAAGCGGUACGCGAGCUGGGUUCAGAACGUCGUGAGACAGUUCGGUCCCUAUCUGUCGUGGGCGCAGGAUAUUUGAUGGGAGCUGUUCCUAGUACGAGAGGACCGGAGCGGACGUACCUCUGGCGCACCAGUUGUUCUGCCAAGAGCAUAGCUGGGCAACUAUGUACGGAUCGGGUAAACGCUGAAAGCAUCUAAGCGUGAAGCCGACCCAAAGAUAAGAUAUCCCAUUGUUUCAAACAAGUAAGACCCCUUGAAGACUACAAGGUUGAUAGGCACGAUGUGUAAGUGGAGCGAUCCAUUCAGCAAGCGUGUACUAAUAGGUCGAGGGCUUGAC
rnacentral:rRNA from 1 species